rnacentral:tRNA from 1 species
GGGGGUAUAGCUUAGUGGUAGAGUGUGUGCUUAGCACAUACGAGGUCCUGGGUUCAAUCUCUAGUACCUCCA